UUUCUUCUUUUCCUUGCGUGACAUUUUAUUUUUCUUGUUGAAUAAUAUCUAUUGUCCUCCCUUUCAAUUUUCUACAUGUAUUUUCAUCAUGUCCUUGAUGCUUACAGCGGAAGCAAUACAUUGGAAGAUUGUCAUAAACUAACUCCUGACAAAAUUCCUUGAUUUUGCCCGUCUGCUUUUCGACAAACUGCAAGACUAUCUUCUCAGGCAACUUAUCUUUUAAAUCAAGGAUCCCCUUGACCCUUGCUAUACUAGGACGAGAUUUAAUAUGAGUCGCUUUAUCAAUUGAUAUGGGCAUACCAGUAGCAGAAGCUAUUGAUAAUAAUGUUUUUUUGGAAAACAACUUCGGAGGUAAGUUUGGAAUCGAUAUCCAUACAACAGCCUUUGUCGUCUUCUCCAUUACAUUAAAAUCAAUAGACAGAGGUAAGUUUGGCAUCGAUAUCCGUACAACAGCCUUUAUCGUCUCCUCCAUUACAUUAAAAUCAAUAGACCAUGGAAAUACUCUAAUUUGGUGCUCCCUUCCAUUUUCAUUAAAGUACAGAACUGACCUCGCAAGUGAUGUACGAAAAUCGUCAAAUUGAUCCAUCCUGAUAAGAAUUUGUCUUGGUGCAAGUUUCCCAAUCAAAGCUUGUCCUUUUAUUCCAAGGAUUUUUGGUGGUAGGUUCCUCAAGG
rnacentral:lncRNA from 1 species